rnacentral:rRNA from 1 species
GACGAACGCUGGCGGCGUGCCUAAUACAUGCCAGUAGAACGCACAAGGAGGAGCUUGCUUCCCUGGAUGAGUUGCGAACGGGUGAGUAACGCGUAUGUAACCUGCCUGUUAGCGGGGGAUAACUCUUGGAAACGAUAGCUAAUACCGCAUAAUAGUAGAUGUUGCAUGACAUUUGCUUAAAAGGUGCAAUUGCAUCACUACCAGUUGGUCCUUCGUUGUAUUAGGUAGUUGGUGGUGUAACGGCUCAACAAGGCGACGAUAACUCACCGACCUGAGAGGGGGAUCGGCCACACUGGGACUGGGAAAAGGCCCAGACUCCUUCGGGAGGCAGCAGUAGGGAAUCUUCGGCAAUGGACGGAAGGCUGAACGAGCAACGCCGCGUGAGUGAAGAAGGUUUUCGGAUCGUAAAGCUCUGUUGUAAGAGAAGAAAGAGUGUGAGAGUGGAAAGUUCACAUUGUGACGGUAUCUUACCAGAAAGGGACGGCUAACUACGUG